UUUAUUAAACUUUGGGUCAGUCAAGUUCAGUUAAACUUGUUUUUUUUUGGGGGGGCUAAUAUACGACUAGGCAGCGUGCCUAAUGGUUGUUUUUAUUCAUAACCCAAAUUAAAAAACAUUCAGUACAUAAUGUUCAAAAUUAGAACUAGCAACAAUAAGAAAAGCUAUAACCAAUAGAGUCAAUAUGAAACUCUUAACUUGGUUUUAUGCAAUGAGCUAGUAAAGCAUGCUAAAAAUUGAAAAUUUUCAUAGCUAGAAACUGGCUCAAUGUACUCCAUCAUGCUGCCAUAUCUCCUUAUCAUCCUGUGGUCAUUGUAUCCUCCUCGAACUGAUUCCCUAAAGCACGAAAUGGUUGUAUCAUGCAUCAUGUGACAAACAACAACAACAACAACAACAACAACAACAAACCCAGUUUGAUCCCAACAUGCGGGGUCUGGAGAGGGUAGUCUGUACGGAGACCUUACCCCUACCUAAUGCAGGUAGGGUAGUCUGUACGUAUCAUGCAUCAUGUGAAAAUUGCAUAAAUAUACCCUGCAAAAACCUGUAUAGUGGCAGCAGCAGUACGCCUACUCUAGCCAGCUGCUUUCUUCUAGGAAGUAUCCCCAUCCACCUAAUCCUGUGACUGCCAGAUGAUGUACAUUUUGACCAUUUACUGGACUCCUCCCUUCUUGCAUAUUGUUCUUCACAUAUCCGACAUAGAAUCCAUUAGGCAGAUUCAGCAUGUUUGAAUAAACUCGUUUGCUUCCAAUCAUCAUGUCCGACCAUAAGCAUAUUUCGUUUCAUUGUUCUGAUCUCAGGUUUGGACAAAGUGACUUAUCCAGAUUAAGGAUUUUCUUCCCUUGUACUGGUAAUUCACCAAAAUUCUGGAACACUAUAUCACCUACAUGAUCGAAGGCAAGCAUGCAACAAGGGGCAUCAUGGUCCUGUGCACUGUGUCCGAUUUGCUCCUAGUGGAGAAUCAUAUGCUUCAGGAUCUGAAGAUGGAACAAUCAGAAUAUGGCAAACAGGGCCUCUGACAAAUGAUGAUGUUGAUAUGACAACAAACGGAAAAGUGAAGGUUUCUGCAGAGGAGGUUUCACGCAAAAUUGAGGGCUUCCAGAUCUCAGACGAGAGGAAAAUCAAGGAGGAGGAUCUAGCUGAUUAGGUAGGUGGCAUGUUAACCAGUUUAUGAUGUAAUAUUAGUAUCAUCUGUGAGCAAGUUCCAUUUGGAUCUUUGCCCCUUAUUUUUUGGAUCGUUUUCAUAGAAUAGACUUUUGGUCGUUUUUCAAAUUUAGAUUACUGGUAUUUCACUAUUUUUGAACUUGAUGUGCUAUCAUCUUAGCUUGUUUUGGAACAUUGUUGUUUGAUAUCAUCAAGACAGGUCAUGUCGGAUACACCUAUAACAAAGUGCAUGUUUCGCUUA